rnacentral:rRNA from 1 species
CCCUUAGAUGAUUUGGGCCGCACGCGUGCUACACUGAGUGGAUCAGCGGGUCAGGUUGCGCGAAAGCGUUUCCUAAUCUUUAAAUCCGCUCGUGAUGGGGAUUGACGGUUGCAAUUUUCUGUCAUGAACGAGGAAUACCUUGUAAGCGCGGGUCAUCAUCCCGCGCUGAAUACGUCCCUGCCCUUUGUACACACCGCCCGUCGCUCCUACCGAUUGAGUGGUCCGGUGAGGCUUUGGGAUCUGAGCGGAAAGAGCGUUUCGCUGUUUCUGCUCGGAAAACUCAGUCGAACCUUAUCAUUUAGAGGAAGGAGAAGUCGUAACA